rnacentral:rRNA from 1 species
AGCCAGACUCCUACGGGAGGCAGCAGUGGGGGAUAUUGCACAAUGGGGGGAACCCUGAUGCAGCGACGCCGCGUGGGUGAAGAAGCGCCUCGGCGCGUAAAGCCCUGUCAGCAGGGAAGAAAAUGACGGUACCUGAAGAAGAGGCCCCGGCUAACUACGUGCCAGCAGCCGCGGUAAUACGUAGGGGGCAAGCGUUAUCCGGAUUUACUGGGUGUAAAGGGGGCGCAGACGGCGAUGCAAGCCAGGAGUGAAAGCCCGGGGCUCAACCCCGGGACUGCAUUUGGAACUGUGUGGCUGGAGUGUCGGAGAGGCAGGCGGAAUUCCUAGUGUAGCGGUGAAAUGCGUAGAUAUUAGGAGGAACACCAGUGGCGAAGGCGGCCUGCUGGACGAUGACUGACGUUGAGGCUCGAAAGCGUGGGGAGCAAACAGGAUUAGAUACCCUGGUAAU